GUUUUUCCUGUAGAAUGCUCAAAUGUUCCUGCUCCCAAGAACUGUUGGGGGUAACACACCAGAACUAGGAAACCACUUUAUACUCCAGGUUUUCGAUGUCCCUGCAAAACAAGUGCGCAUUUACGAUUCAAUGAGGAUCUACAAUUCUAUAGAAAGGAAUGACUUGGAGAUUCUGAAGUAAUACUUUUGUAAUCUGUACCAGGUGUAUUAUAAAAAUAUUAUUUUAAAAACAUAUGAAUGAUAUAUAGAAAAGAUGAAAGAUGCAUGACCAACUCCUGCAUGGCCCAGGACAUAAAAGCCUGUGACAGGAAUAAAGUAUGUAGUAUAGCAUAAUAAAUUUUAUCAUGUUGUAAAUGAAUUUUGCUGAUUUUCAAAUUACAAUAAUGUUUAUGUUUUCAGAACUCUGCAUCCACACAUCAGACUUAUGCAGUGGGUUCAGUGUGACCUGUGCAACAAAUGGUUACACACCGAUUGCGCUGGCAUCGACCCUUCAACCAUUUGCAAAGAAACACCCUUCAGCUGUGGAUGUGAACAAGAACAGCCAUUUUCCUUUCAAAGGUUGGUACCAACAUGGUAGAAUUUCUUAACCGGGCAGAGUCCACAAAACCCCAUCCCUUUGUCAUGGCCAUGGGAAACGGCCAGCACAUAUCGCAAUGCUUUGUCAUCAUAAAUGGACAAGCCCUCGAGCAAAGCACACUGCUUGCAUCGGUCGAUGUAUGCUUCAAAGCAUUCUUUGUGUUUGGCAUCAACUAUCCCAAGCAGUGUGCAUCUACCUGGGAGUUUUUACAGCAUGUUAUCUUCCAAAUGGAGGGCAAGGAAUCUUCCGCAAUUCGGUUUCUUCGCACGUCCUUGUUUGCUGAAGAGUAACUAUUAUCCUUUUCCCCCCUUCUUUUUGGUUUUGUAAAUUUCAAUGUCAAUUUUACAUACUGUAAAAUACAAUUUUGCAAUCUUUGAAUUUCAAGUAUGAAUUACAUGUAUAAAUGUCAUUGGUCAGGACUAAUUUUCUUUCU